CCUACGGGAGGCAGCAGUGGGGAAUAUUGCACAAUGGGGGAAACCCUGAUGCAGCGACGCCGCGUGAGUGAGGAAGUAUUUCGGUAUGUAAAGCUCUAUCAGCAGGGAAGAAAAUGACGGUACCUGACUAAGAAGCCCCGGCUAACUACGUGCCAGCAGCCGCGGUAAUACGUAGGGGGCAAGCGUUAUCCGGAUUUACUGGGUGUAAAGGGAGCGUAGACGGCUAAUCAAGUCAGAAGUGAAAUCCCGGGGCUUAACCCCGGAACUGCUUUGGAAACUGUGCGGCUGGAGUGCAGGAGGGGUAAGCGGAAUUCCUAGUGUAGCGGUGAAAUGCGUAGAUAUUAGGAGGAACAUCAGGGGCGAAGGCGACUUACUGGACUGUAACUGACACUGAGGCACGAAAGCGUGGGGAGCAAACAGGAUUAGAUACCCUGGUAGUC
rnacentral:rRNA from 1 species